rnacentral:lncRNA from 1 species
UUUUGUUUUCUGAAAGCUGAAGUCUAGAAGAAUUUGAAGAAAUGAUGGAAGAGUUUAAAAAAAAAAGAAUGAUGCUUGAAAGGUAUGGAACUUUCUGAGCCCAAAGAUACUUUCAAGUGGUUUAAAGAUAACAUACAGAUUAUUACAUUAGAAACACAAAGUUAUUCAAGAAAAUGUUCACCAAAAAUAUUUUUUUCUGUUUUUACAUAUUCGUAAGACAUUUAAUUCCAAGAAGGAGAUUUAAUGUCUACCACUAGAGCGAAUGAAACAGUGAAGACAGAUUUCUACUUAAUCCCCCU